CUGCGGAAGGAUCAUUACCUAGAGUUGUAGGCUUUGCCUGCUAUCUCUUACCCAUGUCUUUUGAGUACCUUACGUUUCCUCGGUGGGUUCGCCCACCGAUUGGACAAACUUAAACCCUUUGCAGUUGAAAUCAGCGUCUGAAAAAACUUAAUAGUUACAACUUUCAACAACGGAUCUCUUGGUUCUGGCAUCGAUGAAGAACGCAGCGAAAUGCGAUAAGUAGUGUGAAUUGCAGAAUUCAGUGAAUCAUCGAAUCUUUGAACGCACAUUGCGCCCCUUGGUAUUCCAUGGGGCAUGCCUGUUCGAGCGUCAUUUGUACCUUCAAGCUCUGCUUGGUGUUGGGUGUUUGUCUCCUGUAGACUCGCCUUAAAACAAUUGGCAGCCGGCGUAUUGAUUUCGGAGCGCAGUACAUCUCGCGCUUUGCACUCUUAACGACGACAUCCAAAAGUACAUUUUUACACUCUUGACCUCGGAUCAGGUAGGGAUACCCGCUGAACUUAAGCAUAUCAAU
rnacentral:rRNA from 1 species